CAGUCCACGCCGUAAACGAUGGUCACUAGCUGUUCGGACUUCGGUUAGAGUGGCUAAGAGAAAUUGAUAAGUGACCCACCUGGGGAGUACGUUCGCAAGAAUGAAACUCAAAGGAAUUGACGGGGGCCCGCACAAGCGGUGGAGCAUGUGGUUUAAUUCGAUGAUACGCGAGGAACCUUACCAGGGCUUAAAUGUAAGUUGCAUUAGUUAGAGAUAGCUAUUUCUUCGGACCACUUACAAGGUGCUGCAUGGUUGUCGUCAGCUCGUGCCGUGAGGUGUCAGGUUAAGUCCUAUAACGAGCGCAUCCCCUGCCGUUAGUUGCCAGCAUUUAAAGAUGGGGACUCUAACGGGACUGCCGGUGCAAACCGCGAGGAAGGUGGGGACGACGUCAAAUCAUCACGGCCCUUACGUCCUGGGCUACACACGUGCUACAAUGGCCGGUACAGAGAGUUGCCACAUCGCAAGAUGGAGCGGAUCUUUAAAACCGGUCACAGUUCGGAUCGGGGUCUGCAACUCGACCCCG
rnacentral:rRNA from 1 species